GAUAAGAUUAAAAAAAAAAAGUGCGAGUGGUGGGUUGAUAUUAACAUAGAGCAACUGAUAUUUAACAUACAGCGAAUAAAAGCUGGUAAUGGAACUUGAAAUAAGAAAAAUCCUAAUCUUUUUCUUGUCUUUGCUCCUGCUACUUAUAAAGUAUUAAAAACUAGUUUUUAAAGAUAAUGAUAAUUAUAUGGUAAACUAACUUAAAGUAUUCGAUAUCACCAAUGAACAUUUAAAUUCAAUAAAAAAUUUAAAAAGAAGUUUGCAAAACGUUUUUUAAUAGUAACAACUCAACUUCGAGUGUUCAUUGCUACGCUUUUUGUUUCUCUAGUUUUCUUUUUUGUUGUUGUUGUCCUUUUUAUUUAUAUUAGGACUUUUAUAAAACUUUUUUUAUUAUUUUAUAGUGGACUAUUAUGUAAAUUAUGAUUUGUGUUUUAAAAUUUUCUUUUAAAGUAUAUUUUAUAUGGUUAUAUGGCAUAUUUUUAUAUUUUAUAUUAUUAUAUUAGUAAUUUAAAUUUUUUUGACCAAACUUGUAUAAGUGAAUCAUUUACAUCAUUGUGGUAAUAUAUUAAUAUGUUUAUAAA